UCUUUUGUGGUGUAACGGUAGCACACUCGACGCGUAUUCUAGAGGCUCAGGGUUCGAGUCCCAGCGAAUGCA
rnacentral:tRNA from 1 species